UACGGAGGGUGCGAGCGUUAAUCGGAAUUACUGGGCGUAAAGCGUGCAUAGGUGGUUGAAUAAGUUAUCUGUGAAAUCCCUGGGCUUAACCUGGGCAGGUCAGAUGAUACUGUUUGACUCGAGUAUGGGAGAGGGUAGUGGAAUUUCCGGUGUAGCGGUGAAAUGCGUAGAGAUCGGAAGGAACACCAGUGGCGAAGGCGGCUACCUGGCCUAAUACUGACACUGAGGCACGAAAGCGUGGGGAGCAAACAGG
rnacentral:rRNA from 1 species